CUGCGUUCAGCUCCACUUCCCUUUGGAAACCGAUUCUUCAGCUAAAUGUCUCACUUCUUGUCAAUAUUCACGACCUGCCGCAGGCCGUCUCCAGACGAGCGGCUGCCGCAUGCCAUCUACUGACUGGGAAAUUUCACAGGUUGACCUUUAGCCUCUCUGUGGCGAAGGUUGAAAACGUGAACGGCUCGAGACAAACAGAAACUAUCAGGACGACAGAAAAGAACAGAAAAACCAGCCAACACAGAAGCAGAUGAGAUCUGGAUGCUCACCUGCAGCGCGUGCAGACCGCCGUUGGCCAUCUUGGCUUCAGUCUGCGAUGCGUCCGACAGCUUCCUCAGGGGGGCGCUGGAUACCGUCGGGUCCCACGCAGCGCACCAGAGCCAGGCUGUGCGAAGCGCCGCAGGCCACCUGCAGCACCCACCUGCCAGCCAGCUGCUCCACCUUCUGAGGCUUCCAGACGGGGAAGACGGCCGC